AAAACAUUCUCUACCCUCAGUACGGAAGACGAAACAGGAACCACGGAGCCAUAGAAAAAGUACCGCAAGGGAAAGCUGAAACAGAAAUGAAACAAACAAGUCAAGACAUUAAAAGCAGAGAUAAACUCUCGUACCUUUUGCAUCAUGAUUUAGCCAGAAACUACAAGCAAAGAGCCCUUUAGUUUGAGCCCCCGAAACUGAGCGAGCUACUCCAAACCAGCCUGAAUAAAACAGGGCACACCCUUCUCUGUAGCAAAAGAGUGGGAAGAGUUUUAAGUAGAGGUGAUAAACCUAUCGAGCUCAGUGAUAGCUGGUUGCCUGAGAAUUGGAUAUUAGUUCAGCCUCCCUUAUUCUUCAUUCCCCCUCCUGCCCCACCACAGCACCCUCUAAGAUAAUAAGAAGUAGAAAGAGUUAAUCAAAAGAGGUACAGCCCUUUUGAAAUAGACACAACUUUAAUAGGAGGGUAUGGAUCAUAUUGCCUAAAGGAUCAUGUCAAAGUGGGCCUAAAAGCAGCCACCUUCCAAAAAUGCGUUAAAGCUCAGACAUUUCUUCCACCUCAUUAUUAGGAUAACCUCCUCCAAACCCCCUAACAUAUAUCAAGCCGUUCUACCCCCGUAGAAGCGACCCUGCUAAAAUGAGUAAUUGGGAAAAUAAACUUCCUCAUCCCCGCAUCUGUAUAUCGGAGCGGAAACACCACCGAACAUUAACGGCCCCAAUAGCACAGAGGGUAAUAAAUUUCUACUACAAUAUCCAGAAACACCUUUAUAACCCCAACCGUUAACCCCACACAGGAGCGUACUAAAUGAAAGACUAAAAGAAAAAGAAGGAACUCGGCAAACCCAUUUUAAGCCUCGCCUGUUUACCAAAAACAUCGCCUCUUGUCCCCUCACAUAUAAGAGGUCCUGCCUGCCCAGUGACACCAAGUUAAACGGCCGCGGUAUUUUGACCGUGCAAAGGUAGCGCAAUCACUUGUCUUUUAAAUGAAGACCUGUAUGAAUGGCAAGACGAGGGCUUAACUGUCUCCUUUUUCCGGUCAAUGAAAUUGAUCUUCCCGUGCAGAAGCGGGAAUAACCCCAUAAGACGAGAAGACCCUGUGGAGCUUUAGACAAUAGACCAGACCAUCCCAACGUCAUAAACUAAAACCAAGUAAAAUAAAACCAAGUAAACUAGUGCCUCCCUGUUCUAAUGUCUUCGGUUGGGGCGACCAUGGGGAACUACAAAACCCCCACGUGGACUGGGAGUACAUCCCUCCUACAAAUUAGAGAAACACCUCUAAUUAACAGAACUUCUGACCUAAAAUGAUCCGGCAACGCCGAUCAACGAACCAAGUUACCCCAGGGAUAACAGCGCAAU
rnacentral:rRNA from 1 species